UCUUCUCGGUUUAAGUUCGCCUGCAGAGGGUGCACUGGUCUUGGAGUUGGGUUCCAAGAAGUCGUUGGUUUUCAUCUGGCUUGGUGGACUGUUGAGCGUUGUGAGGUUUGUCUAGCAAAGAAUGGCAUGCAUUCAUGAUCAUUCAUUAUGCAAGGCGCAAUUGUCUUUGUCAUAGGAGCUGCAUGGGAAGGGCCCUACGUGACAUUUUCCUUAUUGACGUUACAACAUGACUAUUCAGUUCAGAGGUGUGGUAUCUGAGUCCCUUAGCUAUACCUCCAUUUCUUCUUGUGCAACUGAAGGCUCUAUUUUAUGAUAAUAGAUGGGCUUGGCCGGCAUUGAAGCUUGAAUAAUUUUAAAACUUCAAGGUCUCUAACAGUAACAGAGUUCACCAUUGUGCUUUUUUAUAUUAUAGGAUUCUGGCUUCCGACACCCACUUCAUGAUCCUAAUCUUGCACCUUGUAGCACCCGGCUUGAAAUUCUCAAACCGUACCGAGUUCCUCUCCAACCAGAUUGCCCAUAAAAUGUUGAUAAAGCCAGCAUUCCAGAGAUCUUUUAGCAGAGAAGAAAGUCGCCUAAAUUUCAUUCUUCAGUGACUUUGAGGGGGCUGGUGAUUGCUGUGCUAGAUUGGACGUUGAAUUGGGUGUUAGCGAUUGGUUUGUUAGUUUUAGUUACUUUGCCUCUGGUUUUCCUUCAAAUGCUGUUUAGAUGUGUGUGGGUUGGUUCCAUUAACAAUUGUUCUGGUUUGGUUCCUUUAUGAAAAAAAAUAAUUGGUCUUGCUAAUGUUCUGUCACUUCAUGUCUGGUUUCUUUAGCUUUUUGUUAGAGUAGCAUGCUACUGUUUGAUGUCUUCUUUUAUAAUAAAGAGCAGGUGGGGUGGUUUAGGUUUAACAGCCUUCAUCGAUUGCAGCUCCUCUUUAAAGUCUUCUUCUUCUUCUGGUUAAUUUGGUGUUGUGACAUUUUUUGUCUACUAGUAGUUUCUUCCAGCCUUCUGUUCUUUUUUUCUUUUUGGUUGGUUUCAGUUUUCUUAUUUUCGACCAUCAUGUUAACUGGUUUUUUUUUUCUUUCAUUUCCUCUUGAUGGCUUCACAGGUUUGGGUUCUGCUCAUUAUGCUUGAGCUGACAAGAUUCUUGUUUUAUUGGUUGCCUUGCUGGUACUUCUAUUAAUGCGCUGCUAUGCCAGUUUUUUCAAGUUUCUUAUCGGUUUAUGUUAUAUUGUCUUUAGACGGCAUUCCAUGGUGGCUGGUAUUUUGAGUUAACAUUUCUAUGUUGUUGCACCAAGGAUUGGUUUUUAUAUUCAUGUUGUUGGUUUCUAUUUUGUCUGUGUCUGUGAUUUGUUGCUUUAAAGGUGUUUGUCGAUGGUUUUUUUUUUGUUUUUAUUUCUCCUUUUGCUUCUGAGGUAGAUUCUGCUACUGCCUAUAUGGUGUGUGGCUUAGACUAAAAGCAUGCUAUUAUCUGAGGGUCCAAAUAUGCCAGGGAAUAUGAUGACAGCCAUGAUCUUGGGAUUUCACGUCUAUGGAGGGUGGGAAGCAUGAAUGAAAGUAUCUUCCUGCAGCAUUAUUGGAUGGUUUUAUUGUGGAUUUUCUUGUUGCUUUCAUUUUCCUUGGGUGCUUGGUAUGUUUAGAAAACACUUUUUUUGGAAUUCAUACUCUCUUCUCUUUCAAGCUUUGGUCUUUUUUUGUCACACUGUCAUUUGGAUGGGGUGCUCUGAACUAAACCUCUGUCAAGGAUUUAUAGUGUUGUGAUGUGCAAGUUAAAGGCUUAGGUUUUAUUUCAAUCAUGGUUAACUCUUUAAUUGGUUUUGCCUUUGUCUUUUGAUGCUGAAUUUAUUUGUUCAUGUGUUCCACAGGGGCCCUUGAUCGCCUCUGCUCAGACAUCUUUUAAGCUUCAGGCUAUUCUGCAUUCUGUACCUUCAUAAACAUUGCCCUGGGCCUCUUUCAUCCUUAAGGGAGAGGCUGUGCUGUCCUUGGGAGGUUGAGAAUGAGAGGAUUGAUUUUUUAUUCUUUCUAUUCUAUGAUGUGCGAAGGUCAGCAGUGCUGUGGGAAUAGAAAAUAAAUGGUGUUGUUGGAUAUUGAUUUUUUUUUUUCCAAAAUCAUUUGUAUUUUCAGCCCUUGCUUGCUGCAAACUACGAUGUUUGAUUUGUUAAUUCCCAUUGCUUGGUGUCACAUAAUUAUUCUCCUGCAAAAGUAAGAAUCAAAAUUCUCCAUUCAUAGGCUGUUGCCUUUGCUACA